rnacentral:lncRNA from 1 species
UGCUCUUCCGCUCAGGGCUCCCUCCGGUUCGGUGUCCACAAAUUCUGAAGCCCUCAAACAUGGAAAUAGCCCAGAUGUCCAGCAGUGGAUGAAUAGACAGACCAGAGUCACUGUAUCCAUAUGGGAAACAUUUGUCAGCUUGAGAAUGAAGCGACAUUCCCAGGUGCCCUGUACUGUGGACACACCUUGAGGAUAUUAUAAGACAGACUGAAAAGGUAGAUUUUGGGACUAUGGAUAUAGCUCAGUAUAUUUGUGUGACAUGAAUAAAGCCAUGGGUUCGGUCCUCAGACAGACAAGCAGA